rnacentral:rRNA from 1 species
GCGAGAAAGCCCUUCGGGGUGAGUAGAGCGGCGGACGGGUGAGUAACGCGUAGGAAUCUACCCAGUGGUGGGGGACAACAUGGGGAAACCCAUGCUAAUACCGCAUACGCCCUACGGGGGAAAGCGGGGGACCUUCGGGCCUCGCGCCAUUGGAAGAGCCUGCGUUGGAUUAGCUUGUUGGUGAGGUAAAGGCUCACCAAGGCGACGAUCCAUAGCUGGUCUGAGAGGAUGAUCAGCCACACUGGGACUGAGACACGGCCCAGACUCCUACGGGAGGCAGCAGUGGGGAAUAUUGCACAAUGGAGGAAACUCUGAUGCAGCCAUGCCGCGUGUGUGAAGAAGGCCUUAGGGUUGUAAAGCACUUUCAAUUGGGAAGAAAAGCUGUUGGCUAAUACCCAACAGCCCUGACAUUACCUUUAGAAGAAGCACCGGCUAACUCCGUGCCAGCAGCCGCGGUAAUACGGAGGGUGCGAGCGUUAAUCGGAAUUACUGGGCGUAAAGCGCGCGUAGGCGGCGUGUUAAGUCGGAUGUGAAAGCCCCGGGCUCAACCUGGGAACUGCACCCGAUACUGGCAGGCUAGAGUACGAGAGAGGGAGGU